rnacentral:rRNA from 1 species
UACGUAUGGAGCAAGCGUUAUCCGGAUUUACUGGGUGUAAAGGGAGCGUAGGCGGCCAAACAAGUCUGAAGUGAAAUCCGCGGGCUCAACCCGUGAACUGCUUUGGAAACUGUUUGGCUGGAGUGUCGGAGAGGUAAGCGGAAUUCCUAGUGUAGCGGUGAAAUGCGUAGAUAUUAGGAGGAACACCAGUGGCGAAGGCGGCUUACUGGACGAUCACUGACGCUGAGGCUCGAAAGCGUGGGGAGCAAAC